UGGAUCUACCACUUGUUUGGAAAAUUUCUCUACCAAGCAAUAAAUUACCCGCUGUGCUUUUGUUGUAGUGUAGAAGUUUUUGAGUUCUCCAAAUCUAAACAAGAUUUUGUCCCAUUUUCCCAUGAAGCUACAUUGUUGCUUAUUCACUUUAGUGGCAAGUAUUAUUGUGCCAGCUGCUUUUGUUUUGGAAGAUGUGGACUUCGACCAAAUGGUUUCACUGGAAGCAAAUCGUAGUUCUUACAAUGCAUCCUUUCCCUCAAGCUUUGAACUCUCAGCAAGUUCCCACUCGGAUGAUGAUGUCAUCAUAGCCAAAGAGGGAACUAGCGUUUCAAUUGAGUGUCUUCUCACAGCCAGUCACUAUGAAGAUGUCCAUUGGCACAAUUCAAAAGGACAGCAACUGGAUGGCAGAAGCAGAGGAUUGAGAUAAGUUUGGAUGAUGAUGAAAAUGGACAAAAUCCAGAGUGCUUACUAAUUUAUGUGCCACUAAAAUAAUCCAGAACCAUAGAAUCUUGGGGAUGAAAGAGAUUUUGAAGAUUGGGCACUCAAGUAAUGCUUAACAAGCAGUCCGCUAACCUCCUCUGGGACACCUCCUCUAGUCAUUGGAAUGCAUCCCCACACUGCAGGUGGAAAGUGGUUGGUUUCUGAUAACUUCCUAAACAUCACCAAUGUAGCUUUUGAUGACCGUGGGCUCUAUACCUGUUUCGUC
rnacentral:lncRNA from 10 species